CAGUAAAGUAGUGGUGCGAGACGCUCUCUCAAAUUUCUUUUCUAAAUGAGAUCGCGACAAAUAUUAAAAUAUAAUUACCUAGGAUUAUUGUAAUUAAUGAUUAAUUAACUUGCUGCAACGAAUGGCGUAUGAUUUUGGCAUCGUGAAAACGUUGAACAAAUCGUAUUUUUCGCGAUUUCUUUUUUGCGAUAUAAUAAAGUAUGUCUCCUGUGAGUGUUUCGCGAACGGAAGUGCCGAUGAAAAGUAUGCCGCGAUUAUCGUAUAUUCGACUAAUUAUAAUUAACUGUGUUAUUGCAAGUGAGUGUAAAUGUCACGAGGAAACAGCAAGAAAAUAAGACAAGAAAAGAAGAUCCUGAAAAGCAUCUAAUGAUAAACGGAGCAGUAUGCGCGGAAUGGACACUCUGAUAUAUAUAUAAAACCGAUCGAGGGGCAACAGCGUGUGUAUUCCAAUAUGAGAAACUUAGCAAGGAGAUACGCGCGAUCGUUUCUCAGCUGCUCGUGCACGCGACACCGCAGAAGAAGAAUCACUUGGCGGCAGGCGCCUGGCGCCAAGAACACGUUAGGAGGAGAGGCUGCGUCGCCGCCAACUUCGCCGUUGCAUGAACGAACUGUAAGAUACACCAAUUGCACGCAUCGUGUGCGUAUGCAGGCACCAGGUACACACGAGAUAUGCGACGUCCUUGAUCAUUUUUCAGACGAUAAGGAAUACAUAUGGUUCGCGUAAGGGAAGCUGGAUAGGAGGAAGGCUCUCGGUUGCCUCCGUAAGUCUGUUAAGCUAUCGUAAACUGGUUCUCUCGUAAGACUCCCUUUGCGCCGCAAACACGAGAUUUAAUAGAAUGGCGUCGAGCGACGCCGACCAGCCGGGGCCGUUCGAUUACGAUAUUCCCGAUAUCUC